GAUGUCUCUGUCAGACAACGACAAACCACAAUAUCCCAACCCAGCGGUGCGGUGCCGUGGGAAUCCUCGCGCUUUAGCGCGAGGAGGAUGUCAAAACGAGUC
rnacentral:sRNA from 1 species